rnacentral:rRNA from 1 species
GGAAAACUUACCAGGUCCAGACAUAGUGAGGAUUGACAGAUUGAGAGCUCUUUCUUGAUUCUAUGGGAGGUGGUGCAUGUCCGUUCUUAGUUGGUGGAGUGAUUUGUCUGGUUAAUUCCAUUAACGAACGAGACCCCCGCCUGCUAAAUAGGUCCGUGAAUGAAUUUCAUUGACGAGAUCUUCUUAGAGGGACUUUUGGUGACUAACCAAAGGAAGUUGGGGGCAAUAA